rnacentral:tRNA from 1 species
AAGCAUGUAGCUCAGUGGAUAGAGCGUCAGACUCCGAUUCUGAAAGACAGGGGUUCAAGUCCCUUCAUGCUUA